rnacentral:rRNA from 1 species
CUCAGGGUGGAGACCGGCGCACGGGGCGUGACGGGUAUACAAUGUUUCUUUCCAUUAGGGAUCGCGCGAGGAAUUUGAUUAAUCCUAAUGGUAUAUAGGAGCGGCAUGGUUUUUAUAUUAAAGCUACGUGGUGAAAGAAGAGUAUGCGUUCUAUUAACUAGUUGGAGAGGUAACGGCUCCCCAAGCGCCGAUAGAUAGGGUUCUGAGAGGGGAUGUCCCCCACAUUGGUACUGAGAUACGGGACCAGACUCCUACGGGGAGGCAGCAGUGAGGAAUAUUGGACAAUGGGUCGGAAGACUGAUCCAGCCAUGCCGCGUGCAGGAUGAAGGUCCUAUGGAUUGUAAACUGCUUUUGUAAGGGAAGAAUAAGGGGUACGUGUACUUUGAUGACGGUACCUUACGAAUAAGCAUCGGGCUAACUCCGUGCCAGCAGCCGCGGUAAUACGGAGGAUGCGAGCGUUAUCCGGAAUCAUUGGGUUUAAAGGGUCCGUAGGCGGGCUAAUAAGUCAGAGGUGAAAGCGUUCAGCUCAACUGAGCAACUGCCUUUGAAACUGUUAGUCUUGAAUGAUUGUGAAGUAGUUGGAAUGUGUAGUGUAGCGGUGAAAUGCUUAGAUAUUACACAGAACACCGAUAGCGAAGGCAUAUUACUAACAAUUUAUUGACGCUGAUGGACGAAAGCGUGGGGAGCGAACAGG